GAGAACAAAAGAGAGCAAGCAAAUACUGAUGUCAGUCUCAGAACAACAUUCAAAGAAGAAGACCUAUGGUCUUAAACAAUGGAUGAAUUGUGUAUUUCUAUACCGGGAUCUUCCAUGGUGAGGUUUUGGGGGGAUAGAGAUACGGCUAAGAGCAAGAAAUUUUUUUUUCUCUCUCUACCACCAUAUUAUAGCACAAGAGCCUGAUUAAAGGAGAUAAGGGACAACAAAGACGCAUUAGCGACCGAGUCUUUGCAAUACAUCAGAGAUGCAAGAGAGACAGAGACGUUAAAACACUAGUAAAUAGGACAG